rnacentral:rRNA from 1 species
CAGGGUAUAGACCCGAAACCCGGUGAUCUAGCCAUGGGCAGGUUGAAGGUUGGGUAACACUAACUGGAGGACCGAACCGACUAAUGUUGAAAAAUUAGCGGAUGACCUGUGGCUGGGGGUGAAAGGCCAAUCAAACCGGGAGAUAGCUGGUUCUCCCCGAAAGCUAUUUAGGUAGCGCCUCGUGAAUUCAUCUCCGGGGGUAGAGCACUGUUUCGGCUAGGGGGCCAUCCCGGCUUACCAACCCGAUGCAAACUGCGAAUACCGGAGAAUGUUAUCACGGGAGACACACGGCGGGUGCUAACGUCCGUCGUGAAGAGGGAAACAACCCAGACCGCCAGCUAAGGUCCCAAAGUCAUGGUUAAGUGGGAAACGAUGUGGGAAGGCCCAGACAGCCAGGAUGUUGGCUUAGAAGCAGCCAUCAUUUAAAGAAAGCGUAAUAGCUCACUGGUCGAGUCGGCCUGCGCGGAAGAUGUAACGGGGCUAAACCAUGCACCGAAGCUGCGGCAGCGACACUGUGUGUUGUUGGGUAGGGGAGCGUUCUGUAAGCCUGUGAAGGUGUGUCGUGAGGCAUGCUGGAGGUAUCAGAAGUGCGAAUGCUGACAUAAGUAACGAUAAAGCGGGUGAAAAGCCCGCUCGCCGGAAGACCAAGGGUUCCUGUCCAACGUUAAUCGGGGCAGGGUGAGUCGACCCCUAAGGCGAGGCCGAAAGGCGUAGUCGAUGGGAAACGGGUUAAUAUUCCCGUACUUGGUGUUACUGCGAAGGGGGGACGGAGAAGGCUAUGUUGGCCGGGCGACGGUUGUCCCGGUUUAAGCGUGUAGGUGUGUGUUCCAGGUAAAUCCGGUUCACUUUAACACUGAGGCGUGACGACGAGGCACUACGGUGCUGAAGCAACAAAUGCCCUGCUUCCAGGAAAAGCCUCUAAGCAUCAGGUAACAUCAAAUCGUACCCCAAACCGACACAGGUGGUCAGGUAGAGAAUACCAAGGCGCUUGAGAGAACUCGGGUGAAGGAACUAGGCAAAAUGGUGCCGUAACUUCGGGAGAAGGCACGCUGACACGUAGGUGAAGUGAUUUACUCAUGGAGCUGAAGUCAGUCGAAGAUACCAGCUGGCUGCAACUGUUUAUUAAAAACACAGCACUGUGCAAACACGAAAGUGGACGUAUACGGUGUGACGCCUGCCCGGUGCCGGAAGGUUAAUUGAUGGGGUCAGCGCAAGCGAAGCUCCUGAUCGAAGCCCCGGUAAACGGCGGCCGUAACUAUAACGGUCCUAAGGUAGCGAAAUUCCUUGUCGGGUAAGUUCCGACCUGCACGAAUGGCGUAAUGAUGGCCAGGCUGUCUCCACCCGAGACUCAGUGAAAUUGAACUCGCUGUGAAGAUGCAGUGUACCCGCGGCAAGACGGAAAGACCCCGUGAACCUUUACUAUAGCUUGACACUGAACAUUGAGCCUUGAUGUGUAGGAUAGGUGGGAGGCUUUGAAGUGUGGACGCCAGUCUGCAUGGAGCCGACCUUGAAAUACCACCCUUUAAUGUUUGAUGUUCUAACGUGGACCCGUUACCCGGGUUGCGGACAGUGUCUGGUGGGUAGUUUGACUGGGGCGGUCUCCUCCUAAAGAGUAACGGAGGAGCACGAAGGUUGGCUAAUCCUGGUCGGACAUCAGGAGGUUAGUGCAAUGGCAUAAGCCAGCUUGACUGCGAGCGUGACGGCGCGAGCAGGUGCGAAAGCAGGUCAUAGUGAUCCGGUGGUUCUGAAUGGAAGGGCCAUCGCUCAACGGAUAAAAGGUACUCCGGGGAUAACAGGCUGAUACCGCCCAAGAGUUCAUAUCGACGGCGGUGUUUGGCACCUCGAUGUCGGCUCAUCACAUCCUGGGGCUGAAGUAGGUCCCAAGGGUAUGGCUGUUCGCCAUUUAAAGUGGUACGCGAGCUGGGUUUAGAACGUCGUGAGACAGUUCGGUCCCUAUCUGCCGUGGGCGCUGGAGAACUGAGGGGGGCUGCUCCUAGUACGAGAGGACCGGAGUGGACGCAUCACUGGUGUUCGGGUUGUCAUGCCAAUGGCACUGCCCGGUAGCUAAAUGCGGAAGAGAUAAGUGCUGAAAGCAUCUAAGCACGAAACUUGCCCCGAG